UAUCGAGUUUGGUUGCCAUAAUGAUGGUUGCCUCGCGAAUUGGAAAUGCUUUGCCGAAUCCCAGUAUAUUGCCAAGUGUGCCAUAUUGUCAUAAUCAUUUUUCUUCUUAGGAUGGUUACCAAUGUGCAGUUGAAUUCUGAAAGGUUUUGUCUGAUGUGCUAUAUUUAAAGAACUGAUGUUCGCACCAGCUUGAUGGGAAAAAUUCAUUUCCAAUGUGGGAAACUUGGAUUUAUUUGGUGAUAGUCAGAUGGUUUUCCUGAAGUUGCAGUUUGAAAUAACCUUUCAAAGCCUAAACUCAUCUUCAUAGAAAGGGACUUAGGUGAAAAGUAAUGCUGGCUCUGUAAAUGUUCUUGGUUUGGGGCAAGACGUUGAAUAAAUUGUGAUGAUUGGAUGGACAA